rnacentral:lncRNA from 1 species
UAGAGGCAUUAACCGGGGUUCUCUUUUGUAGGUUUCAGACUCAUGUGAUCCAAUCAUCUUCUCCAUUUGGCCUUAAUCAUCAUAUAGGUUGAUAUGUUUUUUUGUCCCUAAAUAACAUUGUUGCCUAUGUCAUACUUGAGUACCUAUUCUGUUAUUUUGUAUUUGCCUAUUAAGCACCGAUCUGAUGGCCCGCCUUGCCUACCAUACCUAUCCCGCUAUUUUAAGGGCAUGGGUAGAGGUGCAAAUUGGGACAGGCUCGGUGAGGCCAACCCA